UUUGAAUCUGUCUUGAUUCUUUACUGCAUGGGUUAUAAUGUCUAAUUAACAGAUAAUGAACUAUAGUACAUAAGGCCGAAGAAAAAUAUCUGAUGUAUCUAUUCCAUUUUGAAAGAACAAGGGGCAAUAAGACCUAAAAUCUGCCUAAUGCAUAGAAAACAUUUCAUGGUGAUUUUUUCAGUAUUAAAUUUAUAAUCUGUUAAAAUUAACCCAAUUUGUGACAAUUUUGAAAAUAAACAUCCCAUCAGCAAAAAAAUCAAAUCAUGUCAAAGAUUAAGCUUGUUUGAAAAUUUUUCAAAAUAUUUGGCAAAUAAUGUAUGCUUUCAAAUAUUGCCUCUUGGUUUUUUUUUAUGGUUACUGUUAUUUCAUUAAUUUUAAUGAAAAAAAUUUGAGAGACGAACACAUUUCCUCUCUGUUUUGUAAAUGCUGAUAUACAUCCACAAAUAUUUAUUUGAUUCACAACUGUUUACAACGAUGUAGUGGUACAUGUAAUUAAAGAUUUACAGUUAGAAAAAUGCUUUUUUUUAAGCAACAAUUUUUUUCCCUUGUUCUGUUUUUAUUUUAUGUUCACAUAUGUCAAGUAAAUACAUGCAUGAACCGCAUUGAUGUAACUGAAAUGUAGCAAUGAAGCUUUUCAUGUGAAAUUAAUUCAUGCAGUUAUCAUUGUAUUGGUUGGGCAUGUACAAUACUGAAUGUUGAAAUCAAAAAAACACAACAGGGAUGUUUUUUCACAUACUGGUACACAAUGAGUAAAGUUUUGACAAAUU
rnacentral:misc_RNA from 1 species